UACGGGGGGGGCAAGCGUUGUUCGGAAUUACUGGGCGUAAAGGGUUCGUAGGUUGCCAACUAAGUCAUACGUGAAAUCCCUCAGCUUAACUGGGGAACUGCGUCUGAUACUGGUUGGCUUGAGUGCAGGAGAGGAACGCGGAAUUCCAGGUGUAGCGGUGAAAUGCGUAGAUAUCUGGAGGAACACCGGUGGCGAAGGCGGCGUUCUGGACUGGCAACUGACACUGAGGAACGAAAGCCAGGGGAGCAAACGGG
rnacentral:rRNA from 1 species